UGGGUGCAGUGGCGGCGUGUAUUGAUGGUCCUGCUAGACUAGUGCCUACGGCAUUCCAAUUCGUUAUUUUAUAUUUGUAUAAGCUUGUGUUCGAAUGUUGUUUUUUAAUGUGCGUUUUUCUUUGUAAAUUAUUAAACCUUUUCGAUUUGUAAACAAUUUAAUCCCUCGUUGUCGGAUAUCUCUGGAAAUCUCCAAACCCUAUUGAUGGGAAAUGUAUUUCAUUAACUCAGUAAAUGGGUAGUGUUGAGUAGACAGUUGCACUACCUCAGCUACAUAGCGCAGUCACUGUUAGCGUGUGUCUAGCUUCGUGUGUCCUGCAACUGGUCAUAAAAUAUCCAGUAAAUAUUUGAACGCGCGCCCCUGACAGUUUCAAAUCUGGGUCACACACUGUUUGGACGAUACUGUUUAUCACCGCUCUGAGGUUAGCGCGUUGUGUCGUGGCCUUGACCCGUGUUGGAUUCUGCUACGUGCAUGCUUGCCUGAUGUAAGAUUUCAAUGUGACUGAAAUCGUGUGGAGUAAAAUGUCAGAGUCGCAACAGUCUAACCCAGGAUCAGAGUCUAUCGACCAUUCAGAUUCAAAGGACCGGUCAGAUUCAGUCGAAGUAUUUGAGGAUGCCGCUAGCACCAGUGGGGUAGGUGAGAAACGUCAAGCCGCUGACGGCGAUACUACGGACGGUCAAGCGGCCAGUGGGACUAAAGAGAGGAGACGUCGACUCAGUGGCUGGAUGCCCAGAAGUAAGGAUGUCCAGGAAACUACCACCAAGUCUGGCUACGGCUGGACCAUCAGGAAAUGUAGCAUCUGUGGAGCCAAAUCAUCAUGUCCGCACGUAUUACGCGCCCCCACAGUCAUUGUUAUGGUUGGCCUGCCAGCCAGAGGGAAAACCUACAUAUCCAAGAAGUUGACCAGAUAUCUUAAUUGGAUUGGUGUUACUACAAAAGCCUUCAAUGUUGGUGAAUACCGCAGAGCUAAAACUGAUAAAUAUCGCAACCAUGAGUUUUUUAAACCAGAGAAUAGAGAGGCGCAAGAACUUAGGAGCCAUGUCGCCAUGCUCGCUAUGGAGGAUGCAGCCAAGUAUCUUGAAGAAGGUGGAGGUGAAGUUGCUGUUGUAGAUGCAACCAAUACAACUAGGGCACGGCGCGCAAUUCUUGUAAAAAUGUUUACGGUAGAUCGGAACUUCAAGCUGUUUUUUGUGGAGUCUGUUUGUGAUGAACCAGCUAUAAUUGAAGCGAAUAUAUUAGAAGUAAAAGUUUGUAGCCCAGAUUAUGAAGGCAUGGAUAAGAACACAGCUUUAGACGACUUUUUGAAAAGAAUUGAACAUUACAAGCAAGAAUAUCAAGCUCUAGACUACAAACACGACAAAGAUAUUUCUUUUAUACAGAUCUUCAACCAAGGGGAAAGGUUUAUCGUUAACAAAUUAGCAGGUCAUCUACAGAGUAGAGUGGUUUAUUAUUUAAUGAAUAUACAUGUGCUGCCAAGAACUAUUUAUUUAACUAGGCAUGGAGAAAGUUUAAUGAAUUUGCAAGGGCGUAUUGGAGGAAACAGUGAUCUAAGUGAACAAGGAGAAAAGUAUGCAGAAGAACUGGCCAAGUUUGUAGUGAAUGAAAACAUCCCUAAUUUAAAAGUUUGGACCAGUGAAUUGAAGCGCACUAUCCAAACUGCUCGACAUAUCGAUGCACCAAAGGAACACUGGAAAGCACUAAAUGAGAUUGAUGCUGGCAUAUGUGAAGGUAUGACUUAUGAGGAAAUUCAAGAGUUAUACCCCCAGGACUUUGCAGAUAGAGACCAAGACAAGUACCACUAUAGAUACCCUAGUGGGGAGUCUUAUCAAGAUUUGGUAGCUCGCCUGGAACCAGUUAUACUUGAGCUUGAACGUCAAGAAAACGUGAUGGUUAUAUGUCAUCAGGCUGUCCUACGCUGUCUGUUAGCAUAUUUCCAAGAUAAGAGCGCUGAGGAAAGCCCUUAUCUGGAAUUCCCUAGUGAGACGGUUGUUCGGCUGCGAAUCUCGGGUAAUGGGUGCUUGCAGGAACAAAUUCCACUGCUCAGACAAUCUUCCAUAUCUGAAAGUGCCUCUUCACACAGUCAUCAAGCUGACUCCAGUAGCCUACGGUUGUAGAGUUGAGUUUGUUGCUCUUGAUAUCCCAGCUGUCAAUACCCACAGGGACAGACCGGUUAAUGUAACCAGAUCUCGCUCCACUUGUGAGGCCCUACAGACUGUACCCAACCACGAGUAGUAGCCUAACCUCAUCAUGUGAUCCAGUGGACAAACUUGAUUGGCUCUUUUUGUGCGUCAAUUAUUUGCUUUGACAUCUAAACAGAUUUAACAUCUUCGCACAAACUUGCAUACAGGGACAGUUUAAACAGCUAUUGCUUCUCUCUUCUGUAAAUUUAUGUCAAGAUUUUAUGUACAAUUGUUACGGAGAGCAUAAUAUGUGAUAUGACCUGCUACUACUGGUACAAACCAUUGGCUAUUGGUUGAUUUUGGAAUACUUUUCUACAUUUAUUUUUAACUUACCUCGCUUUUCUGUUCUAUAUACAAAAAUACAACUUUCUUGCUGGUUUAAGAAACAAUUCAGCUGCACAAUGAUAUUGAUACAGUUGUUACACAUACAAGUGAACUAAGUUUUGUAAGAAUUCUUACAGAAGGCAUUUUGUCUUUCAUGUGUCUAAGCCAGUAUAUUAACAACUAGACAACCAUGUACUAUCUAGCUGGAUUCUGUCACAUUUUUACUCAAUCUCAUUUUUUUUAAAACAUGCAACUAUUUACUCUGUAGUUAAAUUAAUGGAACAGUAUUGGCUUUUGAUGACGUUUUAUUUAUAAAACAGAAAUAUUUUUGGGUUCACCCCCUUCAAGCAGUGUCAUCAUUUCUUGUGUUAUAUAUAUGUCAUUUAAGUGAAAUCAAACUGCUAGGUUUGUCUUCUGUUGUACGAUCAUUAAAAAAAAUAUAUAUGUUUUUGUUGCUAUUGAAUUUUUUUUUUCUCUGCGUGUUCAUUUACUGAAUGGGAAGAUCUGUUGUUUUUAAAUUAUAACCAUAUUUAUAAGUUUUGGAUAACUUGAUUGCAUGGGGGGGGGGGGGUGCUGUAUUUAUUGUAAGUUUGAAAACCAAAUAUUUGAUGUUUGAAUGAGGGUAUAUAAUGUUUCUAUCUGUAGAUUAAUGUGCUCAAGUUAAUACUUUACUUUUAUAUAGUUGACUUAGCAUUUAAGCAGGAGCUAUACAUAUCAUGAAAUGCGCACAACUGUCCUUACUUUGAUAGCAUUAAAUCAUUUGUUCUUCCUCCCACACCAUUCCACUUAGGGUUAGAUUAGCUCUAAUUUGGUCUAUGAAGGUGGUUCCACUAGAAUUUGCAGCGCUGUAAUAAGUCUAAUUGGCGUUCUCUAAAUGUCAUUACAGUUACCUUAUAUAUCAAGUCUAAGACAAUUAAAUAAUUCUACAUUAAAUAUAAAGCACCAAUUCUGCUUUAGAAAGAACAAUCACAUCAUUUUCAUUUGUUCUGUAUUUUAUUUCAAGAUCAUGCGUGACUCAUUUGAACAUUGUACAUGUACUGUACCAUUCCCUUUAUUGUUGGUGACCAUGAACUUUGUUAUUCACACCAAAGAGGGGAAACUGCUGGCACUAAAUCUUUGCAUUGUGUGUACAUUAACAAAACAUGAUGCACUCAUUUCAUACCUGGCAAUACAACUUCAGUUUUAUUUAUUUUAUUUUGCAGAUUUGCAUAGCUAUAACAAUAGAAUACUAUUGGAAUUUUUUAUUUUUUCUAAAUUUAAUUUUUAGUUACUGACAAUGUGACAUGGCAUUUAUCCUGAAAUGCUUGUUGUUAAACCAUAGCUUAGUUUAAUUUAUCUUGUGUAUAUAAUGUACCAAUAGGAUUUUUUUCUCAAAACUUAAAUGUAAAAAACAGAAAAUAAACAAUCAAAA